CAGCUACAGCUAGCUAGCACUGCAGUGCAUAAAAUGUGUUGAGUAGUUGACUCAAAGAGAGAGAAAGACAAUAGUUUAACAAUUAUGAACAACUUAAUUUCUUCCAAAAUGAAGAAGCAAGAGAGAAAGAUUGUCUUUUUUCCCACUUUCAGUUUCACUUACAUAGCUAGCAAAUGCAGCUAGCUAAUUUAGCCUACUGAAACACCCUGCGCAAACAGAAGGAUGCUAUGAUAACUUGCUGUCUAUGAAUAUCUAACACAACACUGGAACUCUUCCAAGUCAAGAUGGAUACCCUUCCCCUACCCGUGGUGUUGGAAGAGGCUGGGAGGAGGAUGGAUCAACACCCUGCAAAUAUAUUUAUUAUGCAAUCACUCAUAACACAUUUUAUGUGUAUCAUCUUCAAGAUUGAUAAGAACCAAUCAGUUACAAGGCAAAAAAUCUGAUUGAGGCCUUCAAUCACACCGAGGACAGAAGAAUCUGUGUGCACCAGAGGUCAAGGCCAAUGGACAGCUGUGUAAAGGGUAUGCUGAAUGAGUGGAACCUAGCCUCUUCUAUUCCAAAGUUUUAGGUGCAAGCAUUCAUCAAGCUUUGGACGAAGGACUUCCAAACGGCGCCGCCAUCUCCAAAGUUCACUCAAUCUGCAAUAGUAAUACACUGGGUUUGAUUUCAUUUUUGUUUUUAAUUAUUUACAUUUGAUUAAUUAUCUUUUAAACUUCCAUUGGUUGAAAUCUAUUGCUCAGUUAUCACUUGGCUCAUGUAAAUAAUUCUGUAGUUGCCCCUUGUCAUGGAAUAUCUAAUCAAAGGGAAGAGAGACUGCAGAUUAUUUGAAACAACACUUUAUCAUAAGACUUUCAAAAAUGGAGAAUCAACUACCCACUCAACAGUGCAUAGUUGCAAAGCUCAACGAACAGUGCCGGUUCAAUGCUUAUAUAGAGAAAAUACAUACAACCCCUUUCUGUAUACGUGGCAGUCAACAGAUAGUGUGUAAAAUGUAACUCGUUGUCUGUGUAAACUUAAGAUAGAACAAGGUUGAUAGCCCGAGGGCUCAACCGUCUAACUGCAUUCACAACAACAAACACUAUAUUGUACUCUUUUCUGCAAGAUUCCAUACAUGUAACUUUCUGUAGAUAGUAAACCCACAGGAUUUUACAUGCUGCAGUCGCACCCAAACAUCUCUUAGCUGUAAGCCCAGUCUUAUGACUAAGUCACAUCAAGACAAGUUUGUAUCAGGUUAGAAAAAACACAGCAUAUACAGUAACAAUAGACUGUUCUUUAAGCAGUAAAACAUGGGAUAGCAUGACUAAUUAUGGAAUAUUCCACGACACCCUUUAAACAUCCUGAGAUUUGGGAAAUAUCCAGUCUUUCCUCUUUUCUUCAUUACCAUGCUGAUGAUUUCAAGUUUUAUUGGACGUAUUUUUCUGUUAAGACAUUGAAUACAUGUUGCUUAGUAUAUUUACUACAUUUAAUGUAAAAAAAUAAUGUAUCUGAGAAGUAAGUUCAUUUAAAGUUAUGUGAUUUGGUUUAUGUAGAUACAACAUUUCUAUGUUGUUAACACACAAAAACCUGAUCUAAUUUGCCUAGAAUGUUCACCACAAGUUUCCCAGAAUUGUUUGCCAGAAGUUCACAAGUGGUUGCAAAUUUACCCCAACAGUUUACCAAAAAUGUAUUUGCAUGUGAAAAUAUGAGCUUGCCGCAAAUGAACCGCAACAUUUUGCCACAAAAGUAAUUUGCAUGUGGAAAUAUUUGCGACAUAUUGGCCGAAGGUUUGCCACAACUGUACAUUUUCCCCUUUUCCUCCUUGAACGUGAAAAGGUAUCCAUACUGCCAAACACGGAAAGUGUCCAUUUUCAUUUCAACUAGGUAUCUACAAAGAAAGCCCUUUAAAUGGAAUACUACCAUUAAAAAUCAGUGCAUUCAAUGUGCGGCUGCUGAUAGCAGCACGUUUAUGGAGAUGAGAACUCAGACAAAUUCUUUAAAAAACAAAAAAACACAGGCAAGUUCACUUUUUUUACCAAAUCUCUUUUUAUUGUAAAUUGAUGUCACUUGGUUUUGAGAAACCACCAAUAGACUACCUCACGCUCGUUCUGCAGUUGCAGGGGCACAGAUAAAACAUGAUCUGCAACGUUAUAUUCUAUUUUGUUGGACUCAAGCAUUACUUUUCCGUAUGCGAGCAUGCACAGACUUCACCACAAUUGGAACGAGAAAGCACACGCAAGCUCGCACAUGGAAAGUAACACUCACGUCUAACAAAAAUGGAAUAUAACGUUGCAGAUACAAUCAAAAUGACACAGCCCAUCAAAGAAAGUGUUACCUUCUGUUGCGUAGCCACCUGACCAGUUGUACUUCAAUGGAUUUUGUUAGACUUUUUGUUUGUUUUUCUUAUUGACUUCCGCCUAGUGGAGACUUUUAGCCAAGGCCUUUGGUGUGGUUGGUGCCCUUUUCAGAGAGGCAGAGUAGGCUUUUAAAUCCAUGGUGGAAAAAUACUGCUGGACUUUGUCCCAUAGCAAGGAAGGGCAGUCAGUUAAGUGUCUCAGUGUGUGUGUGUGUG